rnacentral:rRNA from 1 species
AUUGAACGCUGGCGGCAGGCUUAACACAUGCAAGUCGAGCGAGCGGCGGACGGGUGAGUAAUGUCUGGGAAACUGCCUGAUGGAGGGGGAUAACUCCUGGAAACGGUAGCUACUACCGCAUACCAUCAGAUGUGCCCCGAUGGGAUUAGCUAGUGGGUGGGGUAAUGGCUCACCUAGGCGACGAUCUCUACCUGGUCUGAGAGGAUGACCAGCCAAACUGGAACUGAGACACGGUCCAGACUCCUACGGGAGGCAGAAGUGGGGAAUAUUGAACAAUGGGGGCAAGCCGGAUGCAGCAAUGCCGCGUGGGUGAAGAAGGCCUUCGGGUUGUAAAGCACGUUCAGCGAGGAGGCGUUACUCGCAGAAGAAGCACCGGCUAACUCCGUGCCAGCAGCCGCGGUAAUAC